UACGUAGGGUGCAAGCGUUACUCGGAAUUACUGGGCGUAAAGCGUCUGUAGGUGGCUUUUUAAGUCCGCCGUCAAAUCCCAGGGCUCAACUCUGGACAGGCGGUGGAAACUACCAAGCUCGAGUACGGUAGGGGCAGAGGGAAUUUCCGGUGGAGCGGUGAAAUGCGUAGAGAUCGGAAAGAACACCAACGGCGAAAGCACUCUGCUGGGCCGACACUGACACUGAGGGACGAAAGCUAGGGGAGCGAAUGGG
rnacentral:rRNA from 1 species